rnacentral:rRNA from 1 species
UUUAGUAGUCCUCGGCGUCAGGAUGAACGACUGGCGGCGGUGCCUAACACAUGCAAGCGAACGAAGCGCAUGGCCCUGGAAACCCUCCGGGGGGAAGGGCAUGUGACUGAGUGGCGGACGGGUGAGUAACGCGUGGGCAACCUGCCCCGCACUGGGGGACAACAGCCGGAAACGGCUGCUAAUACCGCAUAUGCGCACAGCUUUGCAUGAAGCAGUGUGGAAAACUCCGGUGGUGCGGGAUGGGCCCGCGUCUGAUUAGCUGGUUGGCGGGGCAACGGCCCACCAAGGCGACGAUCAGUAGCCGGCCUGAGAGGGUGGACGGCCACAUUGGGACUGAGACACGGCCCAGACUCCUACGGGAGGCAGCAGUGGGGAUAUUGCACAAUGGGGGAACCCUGAUGCAGCGACGCCGCGUGAGCGAAGAAGUACCUCGGUAUGUAAAGCUCUAUCAGCAGGGAAGAAAAUGACGGUACCUGACUAAGAAGCCCCGGCUAAAUACGUG